rnacentral:rRNA from 1 species
UAGGGAAUCUUCCACAAUGGGCGCAAGCCUGAUGGAGCAACACCGCGUGAGUGAAGAAGGGUUUCGGCUCGUAAAGCUCUGUUGUUAAAGGAGAACACGUAUGAGAGUAACUGUUCAUACGUUGACGGUAUUUAACCAGAAAGUCACGGCUAACUACGUGCCAGCAGCCGCGGUAAUACGUAGGUGGCAAGCGUUAUCCGGAUUUAUUGGGCGUAAAGAGAGUGCGGGCGGUUUUCUAAGUCUGAUGUGAAAGCCUUCGGCUUAACCGGAGAAGUGCAUCGGAAACUGGAUAACUUGAGUGCAGAAGAGGGUAGUGGAACUCCAUGUGUAGCGGCGGAAUGCGUAGAUAUACGGAAGAACACCAGUGGCGAAGGCGGCUACCUGGUCUGCAACUGACGCUGAGACUCGAAAGCAUGGGUAGCGAACAGGAUUAGAUACCCUGGUAGUCCAUGCCGUAAACGAUGAGUGCUAGGUGUUGGAGGGUUUCCGCCCUUCAGUGCCGGAGCUAACGCAUUAAGCACUCCGCCUGGGGAGUACGACCGCAAGGUUG